rnacentral:rRNA from 1 species
AGCGAACGCUGGCGGCAGGCCUAACACAUGCAAGUCGAACGGAUCCUUCGGGAUUAGUGGCGGACGGGUGAGUAACACGUGGGAACGCGCCCUUUGGUUCGGAGCAACUCAGGGAAACUUGAGCUAAUACCGGAUGUGCCCUUCGGGGGAAAGAUUUAUCGCCAUUGGAGCGGCCCGCGUCUGAUUAGCUAGUUGGUGGGGUAAAGGCCCACCAAGGCGACGAUCAGUAGCUGGUCUGAGAGGAUGAUCAGCCACAUUGGGACUGAGACACGGCCCAAACUCCUACGGGAGGCAGCAGUGGGGAAUCUUGCGCAAUGGGCGAAAGCUUGACGCAGCCAUGCCGCGUGAAUGAUGAAGGUCUUAGGAUUGUAAAAUUCUUUCACCGGGGACGAUAAUGACGGUACCCGGAGAAGAAGCCCCGGCUAACUUCGUGCCAGCCGCCGCAGUAA